GGGGAUAUAGCUCAAAGGUAGAGUAUUUGCCUAGCAUGUAGGAGGCUCUGGGUUCAAUCCCCAGCACCACCA
rnacentral:tRNA from 1 species